ensembl:lncRNA
GCCAGUUCUCAGGAAUGGAGACUUGCAUGUUACAUGUAUUAGAUACAUUUGCUGACAUUGUCUAACUCCAAAGGGUUGACAGAGUGGUCUCAUUUGGCAUCACCUCUUUCCAAUCUCUUGCUGAUCACUUAAAAAAAAAAAAAAAAAAAAAACAAAAAAAAGCGAUGUUCUUUAGAUUAGACUAGAAAUUGUAUGGGUAGGUCUGAAUUGGCUUUUUAUUGACAGUAUUACCCUAGGAAUCCAGAUUUGGCUCAAGUAAAUACCUGUUAGAUAAGACUAAAAGAGUCCUUGAAGUUGACUGGGAAUCUCAAAACAGAUAAAUGAAUUAAGUGUGAGGCCAAGAGAGCACAUCAACUCAACUAAGGUUGUGUUAUGAUCAGGCUUGCUGUACCCCUCUGACUGGUCAAGCUGCAAAAGGUCAAGCAACCCCAAAGGAUCAUCCAACAUCAUUUUUUAGGUCAAAGAUAAUACACACAUCUGGGAAAGGGAAGAUACCAGGAGAGAAAUGAUAAUGACAGCAUUCUAUUCUCUUUAGCAGCUGCCUGGGUGGCUCGGAUGGUAAGGAUGCCUGCAAUGCAAGAGACCUGGGUUGGGAAGAUCCCCUGCAGGAGGGCAUGGCAACCCACUCUCAUAUUCCUGCCUGGAGAACCUCAUAUAAUACAGAGGAGUCUGGCGGACUAUAGUCCUUGGGGUUUCAAACAGUCGGACAUGACUGAACGACUAGCGCUUUCACUUUCACAUUCUCUUUAGAAUCUUGGAAGAUUCAAGGUUUUUUUUUUUUUUUUUUUUUAAUUCCUUUUACUGAUUUUAGUCAAGCAGAAACAGUUUGUGAGCCAGUCUGGUUAGGGAUGGCUUCCUACGUACAGUGAUUUGAGAGAGGGCUGGCCCAGGACUCUGCCUCCAAAGUAGCAGUGUCUGCAUUCUUCCCGUGGCAACAUCUUUCUAUUGGUUUUUGGCUCGUCUGCUUAGAUUGAGAGCACAGCUUCACAGAGAGAACACAACCCAUGGAUUCAAAGUCCCCUGAUGGUAGAAAACCUUAUAAUGCUUAUCUGAGGAAAUGAAGAAGCCAUCCUAUUAGUUGGGAAAUGUCAUGAACCAUUAAGAGAAGGACCUAAAAGUUUAAGAGAAGGUUGAAACUGCUUCAGGUCUGGAGAAUGAGCAGUGUUCUUUUCAGAGGAUGGCUUUUGGGAAACCACAUAUGAUAUGCUGUCUGUCUGAUAUGAGUCCAACCUAUUUUCCUUCUCUGCCACCUCCCUACCAUCUUCCUCUUUUGAUAACCUCGAUCUCAGUUAAGAGUACCACUGUGUUCUUUACCUUUAAACUUUAGAUUUCUAUUAUAUUACCCUCUUUCUCUGCCUGUGUUCUCUUGUAUAGCUCUCCUGUUCAGCUCUGCUCUUUGCAUUUCACAUCCAUUCUCUGCUUUUUUUCCGCAGCCUCAAGUCACUGGUUCCUGCCACCCCCAUACAGAAAUGCUGCCCCAGUUGCAUGUUUUCACACCAACUCCCCAUCCCAUGGCAGCCCUAUAAAAUAAGUUUUAACUCCUAUUUAGAUGAGGAAAAUGAAGCCAAAAUAGAUUGAAAACUUCCACAAGAUCACUCUAGUAGGAUUGAGUUCAGAGCAAAUCUAUUCUGUUUCAAAACCCACCAACCUUUUCACAAGGAUGCAAGGAUUCUACAGAAAAUCACUGUAUACAGCUCCCACUUAAGAGGCAGGAAGUCUUACUCCAUCUGCUUGGAG